GGCCAGACUACGUGCGAGGCUGAAAUCAAAUUUUGGCCAGAAGUACGUAGGAUGGUAACACCAGGCUAGGUGGCUGUUUUAUCCCCUGCCAGUUGGAAAUAUA